rnacentral:rRNA from 1 species
AUGGCCGCAGUUGUUGGCGUCGGGGCAGAGGAUGCCGAACACGAAGGAGGCCGAGAACGACCGCACCGUCCGGUUCCGCGCCGCCGGCUCGCGGAAGCGGAACGGCGCCGGGUGGAUGGCGUGGGCCUUCUGGCGGAGCGUGCCGUUGGUGAGCUCGAGAAGACCGGUUGGAGUGACCGCGGCCGCGCCGCCGAGGGUGAUGUUGGCGCCGGCGAAGCUGGAGUAGACGAACUGCUGGCCGACGCUGCAGAUAGCAAGGCUAACAGCGACGAGAAGGAGGAGGAGGAAGCAGCUGAGCUUCUUGUGAGCCUGAGGCAUAGCCGGUAUUGCUUUGCUCGUACGCGGAGGAGAAAGGCGAAGCCUGAGAAUGAAUUGACUGCUGACUUGCUGACCGCUCAGCUGCUCUACCAAUUACGCAGGAAAAUCAUGCGGGGGCAGGGGUGGGUCGACCAAAUAUAUUCUUUGACCCAUCAGCCAUACAAGAUGAAAAUUAGUGAUUGCGAAAUUAAUUGGGAUAACUGUAUGUGA